AUUCAACACAACAGUUCAGAGGAGGAAACAGAAAUAUCUAGAAAUAUUGUUUGAGUUUGUCUAGUUCCUCCAUGGUUGUGAGAGGAAAGACAUCAUCCUCGCUGUCCACCAGCAGCACUGGAGCACUGGAACGACUGUUAGCUGCAAGAGACUGGACCACUGAAGACAGAUGAUUGAUCUUCAGGUCCAGUUCGUUAAGUGCCUCCAGAAUUGUCCUCUCAACAGCUGCAACACAUUAGAUGGGUGUUCACCCCAAGCAUCCUCUUGCUCAUUUUCAUUGGACAAGCUCACAGGAACAGCUGGAGUUAAGAAAGGUGAAGUUGGUAAGUUGUAUUUGCUACCAUGACAGUGCAUGACACUGAUACACUAUGGGCUAGAUUUACUAACAGCUUGCGCCAGCACAAACCUUCUUUUGGUGUUAAAAUAGUACUGUCAGGAUUUACUGAAGAGGCGCGGUAAAGAAUUAGUGCUGAAAAGACGUGGACACAGUUGUUUUUGCAUUUAACCUUACUAAAUAUGCAUUUGUAGUAGUUUUCCUUUCAGACGCAAAAUUUAUGGGAGGAGAGUAUUAAGAUGAAUCAUGCAAUGAUUUAAUAACAUCUGUGCUCUUCAAAUUAUUUGUAUUUGCUAAAUUUUUAAUACCCAAAAAGGCGGGGCAUAGAGGACCUACAAUAAUGUACAGUAUUUGAAAAAUAAUGUUUUUUGAAUAUUAAAGCAUGUCAACAUAUUCUGUUACACCAAAUACACAAAAUAAUGAUCUUUAAAAAAGCAUCAUAUGACCCCUUUUAGUGAUACCCCAGUAAUGACUGAAAUUAACCAGAUGUUUUUUUUUUUUUUUACUUUGCAUUCUUUCGUGUUGUGUGGUUGAUGGUCUUUGGUCUUGAGAGAGUCUUAGGACAGAGAACAUGUUCUCUAUUUAGAAAAAGUGGAAAAAAAUGUUGUAUUAGCUUGUGUUAGGCCAUGACUCAUUUGCGAUUGUGUUUUUGAUUUCCU
ensembl:lncRNA